AUGAGGCCAGCCGACUCGCUCUUCAUAGGUGGUAUCAGUCGAUCGAAGGUCGCGGAAGUUUGCGUGGCAGCGAUCGUGGUCCCGGAAGCCUCAGAGAAAAUCGUGGAGAUAUGCGCGGGUGACGUCCAGAAGGGCAGCAUCCAAGAACUAUUCUCGCGAAUUUGAUCACUGCCAAAGUAAAUCCUCGGUCUUUCGUAUUAGCAAAUUUCACAAACACUUGCAUUCAUUUGUGACAUGCUUCGAGGUUGGGCACCACUAAAUUAUAAACGAUGGAUAGAUAAUAUCCUUGAGCAACAAA